rnacentral:rRNA from 1 species
AUACGUAGGUGACAAGCGUUAUCCGGAUUUACUGGGCGUAAAGGGCGUGUAGGCGGUCUUGCAAGUCAGAAGUGAAAUUCCUGAGCUCAACUCGGGCGCUGCUUCUGAAACUGCAGGACUUGAGUGCUGGAGGGGAUAGCGGAAUUCCUAGUGUAGCGGUGAAAUGCGUAGAUAUUAGGAGGAACACCAGUGGCGAAGGCGGAUUGCUGGACAGCAACUGACGGUGAGGCGCGAAAGUGUGGGGAGCAAACAGGAUUAGAUACCCUGGUAGUCCACACUGUAAACGAUGAAUACUAGGUGUGCGGGGACUGACCCCCUGCGUGCCGGCGUUAACACAAUAAGUAUUCCACCUGGGGAGUACGAUCGCAAGGUUGAAACUCAAAGGAAUUGACGGGG